UAAUCCCUGCGAUGUUUGUUAAGGUUUAUAUUCUUUGAACCAAUUGUUAAAAACUGGUUGUGGAUUUUAGUGACACUGUUGUGCGCGUCUUAUGGAUGUGCCUGAUGUGUCCAUGAAACAGCCGCCUUGAACCGUAUGGUUCAAGAUGAUAACCUGACGGCAUAUGUGGGGAGCCA
rnacentral:other from 1 species